rnacentral:rRNA from 1 species
GACGAACGCUGGCGGCGUGCUUAACACAUGCAAGUCGAACGGAAAGGCCCUGCUUUUGUGGGGUGCUCGAGUGGCGAAAGGGUGAGUAACACGUGAGUAACCUGCCCUUGACUUUGGGAUAACUUCAGGAAACUGGGGCUCAUACCGGAUAGGAUCUCCUGCUGCAUGGUGGGGGUUGGAAAGUUUCGGCGGUUGGGGAUGGACUCGCGGCUUAUCAGCUUGUUGGUGGGGUAGUGGCUUACCAAGGCUUUGACGGGUAGCCGGCCUGAGAGGGUGACCGGGCACAUUGGGACUGAGAUACGGCCCAGACUCCUACGGGAGGCAGCAGUGGGGAAUAUUGCACAAUGGGCGGAAGCCUGAUGCAGCAACGCCGCGUGCGGGAUGACGGCCUUCGGGUUGUAAACCGCUUUCGCCUGUGACGAAGCGUGAGUGACGGUAAUGGGUAAAGAAGCACCGGCUAACUACGUG